rnacentral:rRNA from 1 species
UACGUAGGGCGCAAGCGUUGUCCGGAAUUAUUGGGCGUAAAGAGCUCGUAGGUGGCUUGUCGCGUCGGUUGUGAAAGCCCACAGCUUAACUGUGGGUCUGCAUUCGAUACGGGCAGGCUAGAGGUAGGUAGGGGAGAACGGAAUUCCGGGUGUAGCGGUGGAAUGCGUAGAGAUCCGGAAGAACACCGGUGGCGAAGGCGGCCUGCUGGGCAGUAGCUGACACUGAGGCGCGACAGCGUGGGGAGCAAACGGG